rnacentral:rRNA from 1 species
AUUGAACGCUGGCGGCAGGCCUAACACAUGCAAGUCGAACGGUAACAGGGUUCAGCUUGCUGAUUCGCUGUCGCGUGGCGGACGGGUGAGUGAUGUCUGGGAAACUGUCUGAUGGCGGGGGAUAACUACUGGAAAGGGUAACUCAUACCGCGCAACGUCGCUAGACCAAAGAGGGGGGCAUUUGGGCCCCUUGCGAUAGGGUGUGCCCAGGUGGGAUUAGCUAGUGGGUGGGGUAACGGCUCACCUAGGCGACGAUCCCUAGCUGGUCUGAGAGGAUGAUCAGCCACACUGGAACUGAGACACGGUCCAGACUCCUACGGGAGGCAGCAGUGGGGAAUAUUGGACAAUGGGCGCAAGCCUGAUGCAGCCAUGCCGCGUGUGUGAAGAAGGCCUUCGGGUUGUAAAGACCUUUCAGCGGGAAAGAACCGAUUAAGGUUAAUACCUAGCCUCAGUGACGGUACCCGCAGAAGAAGCACCGGCUAACUCCGUG